rnacentral:misc_RNA from 1 species
GAAAUGCGAUAAGUAAUGUGAAUUGCAGAAUUCAGUGAAUCAUCGAAUCUUUGAACGCACCUUGCGCUCCUUGGUAUUUCUUGGAGCAUGCCUGUUUGAGUAUCAUGAAAUCUUCAAAGUAAAUCUUUUGUUAACUCAAUUGGUUUCUACUUUGGUAUUGGAGGUCUUUGCAGCUUCACACCUGCUCCUCUUUGUUCAUUAGCUGGAUCUCAGUGUUAUGCUUGGUUCCACUCGGCGUGAUAAGUUAUCUAUCGCUGAGGACACUGUAAAAGGUGGCCAGGGUAAAUGCAGAUGAACCGCUUCUAAUAGUCCAUUGACUUGGACAAUACUUUUAUGAUCUGAUCUCAAAUCAGGUAGGACUACCCGCUGAACUUAAGC